GACGGAGGGUGCUAGCGUUGUUCGGAAUCACUGGGCGUAAAGGGCGCGUAGGCGGCCCAUGCCGUCGGCUCGUGAAGGCCCGGGGCUCAACCCCGGAGGUGCGGCCGAGACCCAUGGGCUGGAGGCCGGAAGAGGAGGGUGGAAUACCCAGUGGAGAGGUGACAUUCGUAGAUAUUGGGUGGAACACGGGUGGCGAAAGCGGCUCUCUGGUCCCGUUCUGACGCUGAGGCGCGAAAGCGUGGGGAGCAAACAGG
rnacentral:rRNA from 1 species